rnacentral:rRNA from 1 species
AAGAAGCAAGACCGUGAGGUGGAGGCAAAACUCAAAAACUUAGUCUCAGUUCGGAUUGUAGGCUGAAACUCGCCUACAUGAAGCUGGAGUUGCUAGUAAUCGCGAAUCAGCAUGUCGCGGUGAAUACGUUCCCGGGCCUUGUACACACCGCCCGUCACACCAUGAGAGUUGGCAAUACCCAACGUACGUGAUCUAACCCGCAAGGGAGGAAGCGUCCUAAGGUAGGGUCAGCGAUUGGGGUGAAGUCGUAACAAGGUACC